GGCAUGUGUGUGUAAAGCAUUUUUAGAGGCAAUUAGUUGAAUUAAAAGUUGGCUGCCACCCAAAUUCAUUGGAAGCGAUUGGUUGAAAGGCCGUUCACAACAGGCGAUUGUUGCUUUCAACUAAAAGUUGCCUGUGA